rnacentral:rRNA from 1 species
GCUUGUCUCAAAGAUUAAGCCAUGCAUGUCUAAGUAUAAACAUCUUUAUACAGUGAAACUGCGUACAGCUCAUUAUAUCAGUUAUUAUUUAUUUGAUGGUACCUUACUACAUGGAUACCCGUAGUAAUUCUAGAGCUAAUACAUGCGUCAAGUCCCGACUUUUUGGAAGGGAUGUAUUUAUUAGAUAAAAAACCAAUGCAGGCAACUGCUCUCUUGGUGAUUCAUAGUAACUUUUCGGAUCGCACGACUUCACGUUGGCGACAGUUCAUUCAAAUUUCUGCCCUAUCAGCUUUCGACGGUACUGUAGUGGACUACCGUGGCAUUAACGGGUGACGGAGAAUUAGGGUUCGAUUCCGGAGAGGGAGCCUGAGAAACGGCUACCACAUCCAAGGAAGGCAGCAGG